rnacentral:rRNA from 1 species
UCUAGAAGCUUCGGCAAUGGGCGAAAGCCUGACCGAGCGACGCCGCGUGCAGGAUGAAGGUCUUCGGAUUGUAAACUGCUUUCGAUGGAGAUGAAUGGUCCAGGAGUUAAUACCCCCUGGAUUUGACAGUAUCCAGAGAAGAAGCCCUGGCUAACUCCGUGCCAGCAGCCGCGGUAAUACGGAGAGGGCAAGCGUUGUUCGGAUUUAUUGGGCGUAAAGCGCACGUAGGCGGUUUGGUAAGUCGGUUGUGAAAGACCCACGGCUCACCCGGGGGAACGCAUCCGAUACUGCCAGACUGGAGUGCGGGAGAGGAGGGUGGAAUUCCAGGUGUAGCGGUGAAAUGCGUAGAUAUCUGGAGGAACACCGGUGGCGAAGGCGUCUCUCUGGCCCGCAACUGACGCUGAGGUGCGAAAGCGUGGGGAGCGAACG